rnacentral:rRNA from 1 species
UACGGAGGGUGCAAGCGUUAUCCGGAUUCACUGGGUUUAAAGGGCGCGUAGGCGGUUUGUACAGUCAGAUGUGAAAUUCCUGGGCUCAACCUGGGGGCUGCAUUUGAUACGUGCGGACUUGAGUGAGGAAGAGGGUCGUGGAAUUCCCAGUGUAGAGGUGAAAUUCGUAGAUAUCGAGAGGAACACCAGUGGCGAAGGCGAGUCCCUGGACAACUUCUGACGCUGAGGCACGAAAGCUAGGGGAGCAAACAGG